UAAACACAUAAGUCUGAACCGGUGUCAA
rnacentral:sRNA from 1 species